rnacentral:tRNA from 1 species
GCUCCGAUAGCUCAAUGGAUAGAGCUGCACCGUCCUAAGGUGAAGGUUGAAGGUUCGAGUCCUUUUCGGAGCG